rnacentral:rRNA from 1 species
AAAUUGAAGAGUUUGAUCAUGGCUCAGAUUGAACGCUGGCGGCAGGCCUAACACAUGCAAGUCGAACGGUAACAGGAAGCAGCUUGCUGCUUCGCUGACGAGUGGCGGACGGGUGAGUAAUGUCUGGGAAACUGCCUGAUGGAGGGGGAUAACUACUGGAAACGGUAGCUAAUACCGCAUAACGUCGCAAGACCAAAGAGGGGGACCUUCGGGCCUCUUGCCAUCGGAUGUGCCCAGAUGGGAUUAGCUAGUAGGUGG